rnacentral:rRNA from 1 species
UACUGCUCAGUAACACGUAGUCAACCUAACUCGUGGACGUGGAUAACCUCGGGAAACUGAGAAUAAACCGCGAUAGACCAUUAUACCUGGAACGGUUUAUGUUUCAAAUGAUUUAUCGCCAUAGGAUGGGACUGCGGCCUAUCAGUUUGUUGGUGAGGUAAUGGCCCACCAAGACUAUUACAGGUACGGGCUCUGAGAGGAGUAGCCCGGAGAUGGGUACUGAGACACGGACCCAGGCCCUAUGGGGCGCAGCAGGCGAGAAAACUUUGCAAUGUGCGAAAGCACGACAAGGUUAAUCCGAGUGGUUUCUGCUAAAGAAACCUUUUGCUAGUCCUAGAAACACUAGUGAAUAAGGGGUGGGCAAGUCUGGUGUCAGCCGCCGCGGUAAUACCAGCACCUCGAGUGGUCAGGACGUUUAUUGGGCCCAAAGCAUCCGUAGCCGGCGCUGCAAGUCUUCGGUUAAAUCCAUCUGCUUAACAGAUGGGCCGCUGGAGAUACUACAGCGCUAGGGAGUGGGAGAGGCAGACGGUAUUCAGUGGGUAGGGGUAAAAUCCUCUGAUCCAUUGAGGACCACCAGUGGCGAAGGCGGUCUGCCAGAACACGUUCAACGGUGAGGGAUGAAAGCUGGGGGAGCAAACCGGAUUAGAUACCCGGGUAGUCCCAGCUGUAAACGAUGCAAACUCGGUGAUGCAUUGGCUUAUGGCCAAUGCAGUGCCGCAGGGAAGCCGUUAAGUUUGCCGCCUGGGAAGUACGGACGCAAGUCUGAAACCUAAAGGAAUUGGCGGGGGAGCACCACAAGGGGUGAAGCCUGCGGUUCAAUUGGACUCAACGCCGGG